rnacentral:rRNA from 1 species
ACGAACGCUGGCGGCGUGCCUAACACAUGCAAGUCGAGCGGAGACAGUGAGUAGCUUGCUAUGAACUGUUUUAGCGGCGGACGGGUGAGUAACGCGUGAGCAACCUUUCCCAGACAGGGGAAUAACACACCGAAAGGUGUACUAAUACCGCAUAAGACCACGGGAUCACAUGGUUCUGGGGUAAAAGAUUUAUCGGUUUGGGGUGGGCUCGCGUCCGAUUAGGUAGUUGGUGAGGUAACGGCCCACCAAGCCGACGAUCGGUAGCCGACCUGAGAGGGUGAUCGGCCACAUUGGGACUGAGACACGGCCCAAACUCCUACGGGAGGCAGCAGUGGGGAAUAUUGGGCAAUGGGGGGAACCCUGACCCAGCAACGCCGCGUGGAGGAAGAAGGUUUUCGGAUCGUAAACUCCUGUCCUUGGAGACGAGUAGAAGACGGUAUCCAAGGAGGAAGCCCCGGCUAACUACGUGCCAGCAGCCGCGGUAAUACGUAGGGGGCAAGCGUUGUCCGGAAUAAUUGGGCGUAAAGGGCGCGUAGGCGGCUCGGUAAGUCUGGAGUGAAAGUCCUGCUUUUAAGGUGGGAAUUGCUUUGGAUACUGUCGGGCUUGAGUGCAGGAGAGGUUAGUGGAAUUCCCAGUGUAGCGGUGAAAUGCGUAGAGAUUGGGAGGAACACCAGUGGCGAAGGCGACUAACUGGACUGUAACUGACGCUGAGGCGCGAAAGUGUGGGGAGCAAACAGGAUUAGAUACCCUGGUAGUCCACACUGUAAACGAUGAAUGCUAGGUGUAGGGGGUAUCGACCCCUUCUGUGCCGCAGUCAACACAAUAAGCAUUCCGCCUGGGGAGUACGGCCGCAAGGUUGAAACUCAAAGGAAUUGACGGGGGCCCGCACAAGCAGCGGAGCAUGUGGUUUAAUUCGACGCAACGCGAAGAACCUUACCAGGUCUUGACAUCCACUUAAACUUACAGAGAUGUAAGGUGUGCUUGCACAAAGUGAGACAGGUGGUGCAUGGUUGUCGUCAGCUCGUGUCGUGAGAUGUUGGGUUAAGUCCCGCAACGAGCGCAACCCUUAUUGCCAGUUACUACGUUAAGAGGACUCUGGCGAGACUGCCGUUGACAAAACGGAGGAAGGUGGGGAUGACGUCAAAUCAUCAUGCCCCUUAUGACCUGGGCUACACACGUGCUACAAUGGACAGAGCAGAGGGAAGCGAAGCCGCGAGGUGGAGCGAAACCCAUAAAACUGUUCUCAGUUCGGACUGCAGUCUGCAACUCGACUGCACGAAGAUGGAAUCGCUAGUAAUCGCGAAUCAGAAUGUCGCGGUGAAUACGUUCCCGGGCCUUGUACACACCGCCCGUCACACCAUGGGAGUUGGGAGUGCCCAAAGCCGGUGAGGCAACCGCAAGGAGCCAGCCGUCUAAGGCAAGACCAAUGACUGGGGUG